rnacentral:rRNA from 1 species
UACGUAGGGUGCAAGCGUUAAUCGGAAUUACUGGGCGUAAAGCGUGCGCAGGCGGUUGUGCAAGACAGAUGUGAAAUCCCCGGGCUCAACCUGGGAACUGCAUUUGUGACUGCACGACUGGAGUACGGCAGAGGGGGAUGGAAUUCCGCGUGUAGCAGUGAAAUGCGUAGAUAUGCGGAGGAACACCGAUGGCGAAGGCAAUCCCCUGGGCCUGGACGGACGCUCAUGCACGAAAGCGGGGGGAGCAAACA